CACAAGCGGUGGAGCAUGUUGCUUAAUUCGACGCAACGCGAAGAACUUACCGGGGCUUGACGUGUACUGGAAGUGCUCAGAGAUGAGUUACGCUCUUCGGAGCUGGUACAUUAGGUGCUGCACGGCUGUCGCCAGCUCGUGCCGUGAGGUGUUGGGUUAAGUCCUCUAACGAGCGCAACCCCUUUCCACAGUUGCCAACAGGUAAUGCUGGGAACUCUGUGGACACUGCCGGUGACAAACCGGAGGAAGGUGGGGAUGACGUCAAGUCAUCGUGGCCCUUACGUCCCGGGCUGCAAACGUGCUACAAUGGCUGGUACAAAGGGAAGCGAGCCCGCGAGGUGGAGCAAAUCCCAAAAAACCGGCCUCAGUUCAGAUUGCAGUCUGCAACUCGACUGCAUGAAGUCGGAAUCGCUAGUAAUCGUGGAUCAGCAUGCCACGGUGAAUACGUUCCCGGGUCUU
rnacentral:rRNA from 1 species